rnacentral:lncRNA from 1 species
CCAAGGGAAUUUGAUCUAGGAAGAUGUGUUUCAGAUUCUCGGAAACUGGAAUAAUGCUUUCACAAACUUUAAGUUUCAUUAUCCUAAAAUGUUAUCGCAGCUCGCCAGGAAAGGAACGCACAAUUAUUUCUCCCUCCAAUGUCGAAGGUUGAGAAUGGCAUUAUUAUAAGAGGCUGAGGCUGGACCACCUGACCAUAACAAAAGCUCCAUGCCUUCGUCCAGACACUUUUCAGGACGGUAAUUUUUAUUCACACGUGAAUCAAAACACCUUGGUUGUUCUUUGAACACAGCACAAAAGAUUUGUUGUCCAUUAGGAUGGCGAAAAAAGAAAAAACUUCCAUUUUAAUUUUCUUUUUGGUAGACAAGAAAAUAUUAACGAUGGCUGCAUAGUGACGCAUUGUCUGUUGUCCAGUGAGUUCAUGAAAGAAGAUAACUACAUAAACCUGUGAGUGCUCAGCACAGAUCUCUUUUCUAAGCCAAUGAACUCAUCCCCAAGCCACCAUGAGUACUGGUGCUAAAUACUCACCUACGGCACCUGUUCCCUAGAAAAGUGUUUCCUUCUUCCACUCCAAAGGCAAAAAAGGCUUAACCCCUCUACCAUAUGGCAAACCUUCCCUGUGAUCUGUGCUCAAGAUAUAUCCUCUGUAGACCAAGUCAAGGCCAUACUUACAUUGUGACUGUCAGAUAUUCAGGCUAAGUGAUAGAGGUAGAUGUCUUAUUCAAGCAUAUGAAAUAUUAAACACACACACAUAUACACACACACCACACACACACAUACACAUAUCACAUGCCACACACACAUACACAUGCAUACUCAUGCACUACAUACACACCACACAUUCCACACACACACACACACAGACAUAGACACACAUACACACACAUACACAUAUAUACCACACACAUACCACACACAUACAUACACCAUACAUACAGCACACAACACACAUACAUACACAUGUGCAUACAUACACACACCACAUGCACACAAGCACAUAUACAGAUACAUGCAUGUACACACAUAUUCACUCAUAUACACACACACAUGCACACACAUACACACACCAUAUAUACCACAUACAUACUACACACCACAUAGACUCA